rnacentral:rRNA from 1 species
UAGGGAAUCUUCCACAAUGGGUGCAAACCUGAUGGAGCAAUGCCGCGUGAGUGAAGAAGGUCUUCGGAUCGUAAAGCUCUGUUGUUAGAGAAGAACACGUGCUAGGUAACUACUAGCGCCUUGACGGUAUCUAACCAGAAAGUCACGGCUAACUACGUGCCAGCAGCCGCGGUAAUACGUAGGUGACAAGCGUUGUCCGGAUUUAUUGGGCGUAAAGGGAGCGCAGGCGGUCUGUUUAGUCUAAUGUGAAAGCCCACGGCUUAACCGUAGAACGGCAUUGGAAACUGACAGACUUGAAUGUAGAAGAGGAAAAUGGAAUUCCAAGUGUAGCGGUGGAAUGCGUAGAUAUUUGGAGGAACACCAGUGGCGAAGGCGAUUUUCUGGUCUAACAUUGACGCUGAGGCUCGAAAGCGUGGGGAGCGAACAGGAUUAGAUACCCUGGUAGUCCACGCCGUAAACGAUGAGUGCUAAGUGUUGGGGGCUUUCCGGCCCUCGGUGCUGGAGCUAACGUAUUAAGCACUCCGCCUGGGGAUUACGACCGCAAGGUUG